rnacentral:lncRNA from 1 species
CCUUUCCACAAGAAAGGGGACCAUGCGCUGACGAUGGCUGGACAUGAUAGAGCAGAUCUGUGCCAGGAAGGCCCAAAGAUCAGCAGUGGAAGCCAGAAAGUCUACGCCAGCGUGGGGAAGGAGCUAUGUUGGUGGGAUGAGGGUUCUACGCUGGAGCCAAG